rnacentral:lncRNA from 1 species
CUCCCAGCCCUGUCAGAUCUAGCCACAAGAGCCAUUCUCUCAGCAGAGACACAUUAGAAUCCAAGCACAUUAGAAUCCAAUGUUUUUCCAUGGAAGGAUUAGCUGGUCUUACGGAGAUGGAAGUGUAUGUUAACAAUGUAGAACAUUCAGUUGAAAAUUCUUUUCUCCUGGAUGAAAAGGAAGGUUUGGAUUCCUCCUCUGCUAUCUUAUGAUUAAACCUCUGUCUAAGGAAAUAGGGCAGGAGAUUCCUGCCAUUUUGCUCCCAGGUUGUUCAGUUCAGAGGAAUUUAGCCCAUUACUGGAUAAAGUGUUGGCUACUCUUAAAAUUAAGAUGCCUGACCCCAUUCCUCUGGAACUUACUGCCAAAGUAGAGGAUUUAAUGCUAGCCCUCCCCCAGAGGGAUAAAGUAGUCCUCUUAAACAUGACUUUGAAAGAGUGGGAAAUUCCAAGCCUCCAUGUAGAUUGUUCUCCCUGCCUAGGAAGGUCUUUUUUACCUGAUUCUUCAGAGAAUGAUUCCAGCUGUAGAUGCCCCAGUGACCCAGCCAGUUUCACGUUCAGCUACGCCUAAAGAAGAUCCGGCUUGGCUCACCUUCUCCACUUGGAAGUUCAGCAGAGAUGUCUCCAGGCACAGAGUUUUGAAUCCUCAGUGAUCAAACUUUUGGCUGACAAGAGGAAUUCUACCCAAUGUAAAGUGUUCUGCGGUGGAUGCAACAUUCAUAAAGUAGUUUUUUGUCUGCCUCCACUCCAGACGUUUCGGCCUUUCUACAGAGGGAACCUUAUCUUUAAUCUUGGAGUGAUCUUCUGUUGGUCCUCUUUCAGUUAUCCCUGUGCAUGUAGGUUCCUGAAGGGUGCCAAAGCGGCAUCUCCUUUCACCUGUCCACCACUUUCAUACCUGGCAUCUAAAUCAGUCUUGACAGUUCUUACUCAGGAUUCAUUUGAACCUCUUGGAAGCAUUUCCCUUCUUCUAAUGACUUACGAAGUUGUCUUCCUAACCUUGACAGCCUUGUCUAUAGAUCUGUCAUGCUGCAUCAUCACUUUGGAUUCAGUGAUCCUUAGGCUGACCCUUCUUCUCAACCUCACUUUGUCCUUUAAGAAGUUGGAAAUACUCUGGCAUCAGCUGGAUACACUCAGGGCAGUUAAGGUGUCCCUUAAGAAAAUCAAGGCUUUCUGCAAGUCUUCUCCCUCGUUUGUGUUGUUUAACCCUGAUAACAUNAGUAUAAAAGCUUUAA